rnacentral:rRNA from 1 species
UACGGGGGGGGGCAAGCGUUGUUCGGAAUUACUGGGCGUAAAGGGCUCGUAGGCGGCCAACUAAGUCGGAUGUGAAAUCCCCAGGCUUAACCUGGGAACUGCAUCCGAUACUGGAUGGCUUGAAUCCGGGAGAGGGAUGCGGAAUUCCAGGUGUAGCGGUGAAAUGCGUAGAUAUCAGGAGGAACACCGAUGGCGAAGGCAGCUCGCUGGGACGGUACUGACGCUGAGGCGCGAAAGCGUGGGGAGCAAACAG